GGCUUCAUGGUCUAGCGGUAUGAUUCUCGCUUUGGGUGCGAGAGGUCCCGGGUUCAAUCCCCGGUGGAGCCC
rfam:Fusarium oxysporum f. sp. cubense race 4 unplaced genomic scaffold scaffold71, whole genome shotgun sequence.